UACGUAGGUGGCAAGCGUUGUCCGGAUUUACUGGGCGUAAAGAGCGCGCAGGCGGUCGUUCAAGUCGAGUGUGAAAGCCCCCGGCUCAACUGGGGAGGGUCACUCGAUACUGAUCGACUCGAAGGCAGAAGAGGGAAGCGGAAUUCCCGGUGUAGUGGUGAAAUGCGUAGAUAUCGGGAGGAACACCAGUGGCGAAGGCGGCUUUCUGGUCUGCUCUUGACGCUGAGGCGCGAAAGCUAGGGUAG
rnacentral:rRNA from 1 species